AUGCUAACUAUCCAGGCAAGUGGCUGGAACAAGCGAAAGGCAGAAAACCUUGACCGGACACUGGCCAAAAGAUACAUCAAGACUGUACAAAGGAUUGCAGAGGCAACAAAGGACCUGGAGAAACUCACAACUGAGUUAUCUCUACAGCAAGACACAGUCCAGCAGUGGGUGUCUGAUGUGCAGCAGUGGACCUCAGGAGCAACAAUCCAAAAUGACCUGCAGAGGACCAUCGAGGGGCUAUAUUUGGGCAUCAAACAGCGAAAAUUUCAGCUGUAUCGUCAGUCUGGUGGGAACAAGCGAAGGCAUCAACUGAGAAGAAAGAUUGCUGUUGAGAAGAAAGCCUUGGAAGUUGCCAUCAAUGACCACAAUGCUACUGUGGGGGAAGUUGAAAAACUGCCUCCUCCCAAUGAACUCCUGGCUGUGGACAACUACUCCUGGCCAUGGGAAUGUCAUGGUGAUAUGGAGCGAAAAAAAAAAGUUUUUGACAAGGUAAUGCUGCUGGCUAGACUAAAAGAAGAAGAAUUUAUUGUGGUUCGCGAAGUCAAGCAGCACAUGGAGUACAUGAGGAGUGUUGCUGGACUGAUCGAAGAGUUUACCUUUCAGCUGACUGAAGACACCACUGGGAAAUGCAGUACAGAGGGCUUAAUGGAGAAAGGACGUGAAGGACUACUCUGUGUGCUGAAGAGAAGAUUGCGUGAAGUUGAAGCACAACUGGCUAAAGCACGCACAACAUACAAAUGUAUUCUUGGACUGCAAACAUUGCCCUUAGAUGACUUUUCUGAAGAGGAAGACUCAGAGAAUACUUCCUCAACUGAUGAGGAACUGGGAGAGUAG
rnacentral:lncRNA from 1 species